rnacentral:rRNA from 1 species
UGGGGAAUAUUGCACAAUGGGCGCAAGCCUGAUGCAGCAACGCCGCGUGCGGGAUGACGGCCUUCGGGUUGUAAACCGCUUUUAGUAAGGAAGAAGGGCAGUCUUUGGGCUGUUUGACGGUACUUGCAGAAAAAGGACCGGCUAACUACGUGCCAGCAGCCGCGGUAAUACGUAGGGUCCGAGCGUUGUCCGGAAUUAUUGGGCGUAAAGAGCUCGUAGGCGGUUUGUCGCGUCUGCUGUGAAAUCCCGAGGCUCAACCUCGGGUCUGCAGUGGGUACGGGCAGACUGGAGUGCGGUAGGGGAGAAUGGAAUUCCUGGUGUAGCGGUGGAAUGCGCAGAUAUCAGGAGGAACACCGAUGGCGAAGGCAGUUCUCUGGGCCGUAACUGACGCUGAGGAGCGAAAGCGUGGGGAGCGAACAGG